rnacentral:rRNA from 1 species
CCGGAUUUAUUGGGUUUAAAGGGUGCGCAGGCGGGAGAUUAAGUCGGCGGCGAAAUUUUGCAGCUCAACUGUAAAAGUGCCUUCGAUACUGGUUUCCUUGAGUGUGGAUGAAGUAGGCGGAAUUUGUGGUGUAGCGGUGAAAUGCUUAGAUAUCACGAGGAACUCCGAUUGCGCAGGCAGCUUACUAAACCACUACUGACGCUCAGGCACGAAGGCGUGGGGAUCAAACAGGAUUAGAUACCCUGGUAGUCCACGCAGUAAACGAUGAUUACUGGCUGUUUGCGAUACAAUGUAAGCGGCUGAGCGAAAGCGUUAAGUAAUCCACCUGGGGAGUACGUUCGCAAGAAUGAAACUCAAAGGAAUUGACGGGGGCCCGCACAAGCGGAGGAACAUGUGGUUUAAUUCGAUGAUACGCGAGGAACCUUACC